CGGGCCGCUAACUAGCACCAGACCGGCCCGCCCGCCUUCAACCAUGGCAGCCGCCCAAUCAGCUUUUAACCCUCACCGCUGCCAGCCCAGCCCAUAAAGGAGGCUGGGCGGAGCGCGCCCCAGCGGGGAACGACCUAGAAAUGUGCCCGCUGCGGGCUUUACGCUCCCAGUCGUAGCCCCCGUGGGAGCGGGCGGCCUCGGCUGGGCCUGGCCCGGCUUGAGGUGCCCGCUCGAGGGCAGCCCGGAAGCGCCGGGGACGGGCGGUGUAUAACGCGAGGCCUAUCCGCGCUUCCUCUGCCGGCGAGGGGGGUGGCCGCCGGGCCACGCCUCCCCCGCCCGUGGGUCGCAGUCCGGGGGGGGUGUGACCUCGUUCUCUGGCGUAGCUCUGGUGGGUUCGAACUAAAACCACCAAAACCCACUUACUGUACGUGGACUUGGUGCCCCCGGGGUGCCAGAGCGGAGGUGUAUAUAUGCCCAUGAAACAAAGUGGCUCUACAGUCCUCCAGCGUAUGCAACGACUCAUCUGUGGUCUCGGAAAAAAGCCUACGACCAUCAAAAGGGAGGUCCUCAAAAGUGUACUGUACUUCUCUCUGAAACCACAAGAGCUGGAGCCAGGAUACUCUGCACAUACAGUAAUUACAGCUCUGGACAUGGACCUGGCGGCAGUGUCUGCAGCAUCCAAGGAGGCUUGAAGAGUGGUUCUGGCUAAUAAUUGAAAUGAGGGACUGGAAUUGCUCCUUAAGUUCCUGUGGCAGGUGUUCAAUAUGGACCAUCAAUCUAUUACAGUUUGUGAAAAUGUAUUUGGCCACAACAGCCUGAUAGUAACCCUGCAGUUCAGGAUCAUGAACUGAGGAACAGGACUUCCGGCCAAAUAGAUCCAGUUUCUUUUGGUCCUUCUCAUGUGGAGCAGACCAGGAGAAGUGUUGCCUGCUCUGCUCGUUUACUGCAUCCAUUACUAGGGAGUUAGGUGGAGGAUAUAUAAAUACUAAGAGAUCUGAGAGUGGCUCAAGUCUUUCAACAACUGAAGUGACUCAUUAGUCUUGCUGGCGAACAGUUUUGGACCCUCGAACGGAAGGUCUUCUACCAUGGCUUGGAUUUCCUUGGGGAAUCCUGAUAGGUGAAGCCAGGAUGGCUGGCGCAUUACUACGGCGGUUGUGAUGGCUCUUGCCACUGUGUCAGCAAGAGUCCAAAGAUGCCUGAAGGGCUGUCCUAGCCAAGAGAUGACCCUCAGAAAUGAGCAACUGCUCCCUUUUUUUCUUUGGCAUGCAGUUAAUAAAGUCAGGAAAUUUGGAAUAGUUUAAGUAGUCAUACUUUGCCAUAAGGGCUUCAUAAUUGGCGAUUCUGAAGUGAAGUGUUGCUGAUAUGUAGGCCUUGCAGCCGAGUAAGUCUAGUCAUUUCCACUCCUUAUCAGAAGGGGUGGUGCUGGAGGAAUGUUGCUUGCCCUUUUCAUUAACUGCAUCAACUACCAAUGAAUUUGGCUGAGGAUGUAUGAAUAGAAAUUCCAUCCCUUUUUAAGGGACGUAGAAUUUUUUGUCCGCUUUCUUAGAUAUGGGAGAGAUGGUAGUGGGGGUCACCCAUAUGUUCUUUGCAGGUUCCAUGAGUGCUGAAUUAAUCGGGAGGGCAAUCUUAGAGGAGGUGGAUGUGUGGAGUAUAUCCAAGAGCUCGUGCCACAAUUCAGAGACCUUCUUGAGGGUUAUCUGGAGCUUGUUAGCAAUCCGUUUGAAGAGACUCUGGAAGUUCCUGAGAUCAUCUCCAGGUAGAAGGUGGAGAGGGCAUAACAGUCUCAUCUGGUGAGAGUCAGGUGCAGGUAGCAGGAGCUGCCUCCUGAUCUAAGAUUACUUCCGCCUCCUCAAAAUUCUGUUUAGGAGGGGCCUCUGGCAGCACUGUGGAUUUUGGUAUAGCAUAUCUGUGUAUCUCCAUGGUGGCAGUUGUGGUGUUAGAGUAAAUCUGUCUAUAAGCUGCCCAUGGGUCUCAGAAUGCCCACUGAGGUGGGACGGGCAUAGGCAGGGAUCCCCACAGAUGACCAUACCACCCUUGAAAAUCAGGUUGGGUCAGAGGUUUGGGGUGCUCCUGAAGUGUAGACCGAACACUGGCUGGCAUGGGUGAAGACUGUUGGAGGAGAAAGCCUCCCCCUUCCACAUCCUCAGGAGGAGAAGCUCUUGUUGUUGGAGUGAGCGGCAGUGAAAGUACCGAAGCAGUAUCUGUACCAAAGAGAGGUGAUUCCGGUACCGGGGCAACUGUCAAGUCUUUAGGAGCAAGAAACUGUUGCAGUACCGAUGGAGGUACUGGUACCGAGAAUUGUGGCAGUACUAGGGGACCUUGCAGUGUCGGUAGGAACGGAGCCUGCACAGAUCGCACCAAGGACGGCGUGGGGAUCUGCGGUGCUGUAUCUGCGCAAUGUAGCAUAAUACCAGGAGGUGGCAGUGUUGCUUGUUGAACAGAGUCACCCGGUACCGAGCGCUUUUUCUGUGUUGUAGGUGCCGAGGUAGAGAAGGCAGUCUUCCCCCUUCCCUCCUUCUUAGAGCCUGCCCGCCUACGGUCUGCGGCUUGAAAGGCACCGCCAGUGCCGGAGAUCCCUGCAGACUCAAAGGUACUAUGCUGCAGCAUGGUCGGUACCGAAGCGGUAGAUGGAGUCAGGGAUCGCUUCUUCUUUGGAGCAGUCUUCAGAGCGGGAGUGUUAGCUCUCCUCUUUCCAUGUCCUUUAGAAGACAGGUCCCCUCCCUGUGAGGUGGAGGAGGGGGUGUCUGUCAGAAGCCGCAUGCCGGAGAAGUUUGCAAACCCAGAUCUGAGGUGGGACGGAGAGAAUUCUCCAUUAAGAGGAGUUUCAGCUUAAGGUCUCUGGCUUUCUUGAUCUGGCCGUGAGACCACGGAAUUUUUGCACUUCCGGGGCACAUGAAUUUCCCCCAGGCAUGGGACACAUUGUGAGUGUCAGUCAGAAAUCGGAAUUGCCUCCCGGCAGGAAAUGCAGCAUUUAAAGCCAGGAGACCCUGGCAUUUUGAGAGAAAACAAUGUCACUUAA